CAAUGAAAAAUAGCAUUCGGGAGAAAGCAUACCAUCACCAUGGCAGCAUCACAAAUACUAGGAAAUGUAAGAAGCUUAAACAGGUUUACCUGUACCUUGUUGAACUGCAGUUGCUUGCAUUAGAGGAUAAAACAACAGUGGAAAGAGAGGUUGUUGACAUCAUUGGAAACAUUUUGAAAAGAUACGGGAGCAGUGAAAGUUAUGAGCUUUUCAGAAAACUGGACAAAGCCUGGUUGUCUGAAGAUGCAAAAACAAGAGAGGACACAUUUAUAAAGCUGUAUGAAGCUCUGGACACAGAUC